GUGAGGAAUAUUGGUCAAUGGGCGGGAGCCUGAACCAGCCAAGUCGCGUGAAGGAAGAAGGAUCUAUGGUUCGUAAACUUCUUUUGCAGGGGAAUAAAGUGCAGGACGUGUCCUGUUUUGUAUGUACCCUGAGAAUAAGGAUCGGCUAACUCCGUGCCAGCAGCCGCGGUAAUACGGAGGAUCCGAGCGUUAUCCGGAUUUAUUGGGUUUAAAGGGUGCGUAGGUGGAUUGAUAAGUCAGCGGUGAAAGUUUGCAGCUUAACUGUAAAAUUGCCGUUGAAACUGUCGGUCUUGAGUGCAAAUGAGGUAGGCGGAAUGUGUGGUGUAGCGGUGAAAUGCAUAGAUAUCACGCAGAACUCCGAUUGCGAAGGCAGCUUACUAAGCUACAACUGACACUGAAGCACGAAAGCGUGGGGAUCAAACAGGAUUAGAAACCCGAGUAGUCC
rnacentral:rRNA from 1 species